rnacentral:rRNA from 1 species
GACGAACCGUCCUAACGUUGUUCGGAUUCACUGGGCUUAAAGGGCGCGUAGCGGGCCCGCCAGUCCGGGGUGAAAGCUUUCGGCUCAACCGGAAAAGUGCCUCGGAAACUGCGGGUCUAGAGGGAGGUAGGGCAUGUGGAACUUCUGGUGGAGCGGUGAAAUGCGUUGAUACUCAGAAGGAACGCCGGUGGCGAAAGCGACGUGCUGGACUCUACUGACGCUGAGCACGAAGCCAGGGGAGCAAACGGG